rnacentral:rRNA from 1 species
UACGAAGGGGGCUAGCGUUGCUCGGAAUUACUGGGCGUAAAGCGCACGUAGGCGGCUUUCUAAGUCGGGGGUGAAAUCCUGGAGCUCAACUCCAGAACUGCCUUCGAUACUGGAGAGCUCGAGUCCGGGAGAGGUGAGUGGAACUGCGAGUGUAGAGGUGAAAUUCGUAGAUAUUCGGAAGAACACCAGUGGCGAAGGCGGCUCACUGGCCCGGUACUGACGCUGAGGUGCGAAAGCGUGGGGAGCAAACAGG